rnacentral:rRNA from 1 species
GUAAGGAAUAUUGCUCAAUGGGAGAAAUCCUGAAGCAGCAACGCCGCGUGGAGGAUGAAGGGUCUAUGACUUGUAAACUCCUGUAAAGAAGGAAAAAAUUCCCAUUAGAUGGGAGAUGAUGGUACUUCUGGAGUAAGCCCCGGCUAACUACGUGCCAGCAGCCGUGGUAAUACGUAGGGGGCAAGCGUUGUCCGGAUUUACUGGGUGUAAAGGGUGCUCAGGCGGAUUUGUAAGUCAGAGGUGAAAUCUUACAGCUUAACUGUGAAACUGCCUUUGAUACUGCAAGCCUAGAGUAUGGAAGAGAGUGAUGGAAUAUCUGGUGUAGCAGUGAAAUGCGUAGAUAUCAGAUAGAACACCAAUGGCGAAGGCAGUCACUUGAUCCAUUACUGACGCUAAAGCACGAAAGCGUGGGUAGCAAACA